CCUACGGGUGGCUGCAGUGGGGAAUAUUGGACAAUGGGGGGAACCCUGAUCCAGCCAUGCCGCGUGUGUGAAGAAGGCCCUCGGGUUGUAAAGCACUUUCAGUGAGGAAGAACGCCUGGUGGUUAAUACCCAUCAGGAAAGACAUCACUCACAGAAGAAGCACCGGCUAACUCCGUGCCAGCAGCCGCGGUAAUACGGAGGGUGCGAGCGUUAAUCGGAAUUACUGGGCGUAAAGCGCGCGUAGGUGGCUUGAUAAGCCGGUUAUGAAAGCCCCGGGCUCAACCUGGGAACAGCAUCCGGAACUGUCAAGCUAGAGUGCAGGAGAGGAAGGUAGAAUUCCCGGUGUAGCGGUGAAAUGCGUAGAGAUCGGGAGGAAUACCAGUGGCGAAGGCGGCCUUCUGGACUGACACUGACACUGAGGUGCGAAAGCGUGGGUAGCAAACAGGAUUAGAUACCCCAGUAGUC
rnacentral:rRNA from 1 species